ensembl:snRNA U6 U6 spliceosomal RNA
AUAUACUUCCAUAUAUCAUUCCAAAAUUGGAACAGUACAGAGAAGAUUAGCAUGGCCCCUGCGCAAGGGUGACAUGCAAAUUUAUGAAGCGUUCCAUAUUUUU